rnacentral:snoRNA from 1 species
CAAGGAGGAGGGGCAGGGUUCUCUCUUGAGUGUGAAGCUGGCUUUGGUGUUGCCUCGCUGCAACUGCCGUUUGCCAGCGAUGAUUGUUUUUCUCUUCCUUUGGGAGAGUAAGAGGGAGAGGGCAUAGUCUAAG